rnacentral:tRNA from 1 species
GCCCCUGUAGCUCAGCAGGAUAGAGCAGCGGUUUCCUAAACCGUUUGUCGCAGGUUCGAUUCCUGCCAGGGGUA